UACGGAGGGGGCUAGCGUUGUUCGGAAUUACUGGGCGUAAAGCGCACGUAGGCGGCUUUGUAAGUUAGAGGUGAAAGCCCGGGGCUCAACCCCGGAAUUGCCUUUAAGACUGCAUCGCUAGAAUUGUGGAGAGGUAAGUGGAAUUCCGAGUGUAGAGGUGAAAUUCGUAGAUAUUCGGAAGAACGCCAGUGGCGAAGGCGACUUACUGGACACAUAUUGACGCUGAGGUGCGAAAGCGUGGGGAGCAAACAGG
rnacentral:rRNA from 1 species